CUUCACCGAGCCGAGCAGCAACGGCUCGUCCCGCUCCUGCCCGUACGUGGCCAGCAACGCCUGCGCCUC
rnacentral:antisense_RNA from 1 species